GGGGGGGGGGGGGGGGGGGGGGGGGGGGGGGGGGGGGGGGGGGGGGGGGGGGUGCGGGGUGGCGGCGGGGGGCGGGGGGGUGGGUAGUGCCUCGGAGCGUGCCCGGUAGUGGGGGGGGGCCGGGCGCGCGCCGGGUUAAUACCGCCUCCGACCUGCCGGUGACAGCGGGGGGCCGACAGGCCGCGCGCCAUCGGCGCGGCCGAUGUCGGAUUAGCUGGUUGGUGGGGUAACGGCUUACCAAGGCGACGAUCCGUAGCUGGUCUGAGAGGACGACCAGCCACACUGGGACUGAGACACGGCCCAGACUCCUACGGGAGGCAGCAGUGGGGAAUUUUGGACAAUGGGGGCAACCCUGAUCCAGCCAUGCCGCGUGCGGGAAGAAGGCCUUCGGGUUGUAAACCGCUUUUGUUCGGGAAGAAAUCCUCUGGGCUAAUACCCCGGGGGGAUGACGGUACCGGAAGAAUAAGCACCGGCUAACUACGUG
rnacentral:rRNA from 1 species